AUUGAACGCUGGCGGCAUGCCUUACACAUGCAAGUCGAACGGUAACGCGGGGCAACCUGGCGACGAGUGGCGAACGGGUGAGUAAUGCAUCGGAACGUGCUCAGUUGUGGGGGAUAACUGCUCGAAAGAGCAGCUAAUACCGCAUACGACCUGAGGGUGAAAGCGGGGGAUCGCAAGACCUCGCGCAAUUGGAGCGGCCGAUGUCGGAUUAGCUAGUUGGUGGGGUAAAGGCCCACCAAGGCGACGAUCCGUAGCUGGUCUGAGAGGACGACCAGCCACACUGGGACUGAGACACGGCCCAGACUCCUACGGGAGGCAGCAGUGGGGAAUUUUGGACAAUGGACGCAAGUCUGAUCCAGCCAUGCCGCGUGCGGGAAGAAGGCCUUCGGGUUGUAAACCGCUUUUGUCAGGGAAGAAAUCUUCUGGGUUAAUACCUCGGGAGGAUGACGGUACCUGAAGAAUAAGCACCGGCUAACUACGUGCCAGCCGCCGCGGUAAUAC
rnacentral:rRNA from 1 species